rfam:Cricetulus griseus cell line CHO-K1, whole genome shotgun sequence.
AUGUGUGAUGUGACAUCUGUCAUCCCAUUGAUCUCCAGGGUUAAUUAAGAUGAUCUGGCUGGCUAGGCAGGUGUUCUCUUCCUCCCUACCACUUCAUGUUCAUCCCUAACAAAGGUGUUCACUGGGUUGAAGAGAACAACCUUCCCGGAAUAGAGGAUGACCAGUCUUCAGUCAAGGGUGUAUGAGUAGCUGCACUCCCCUGCUAGAACCUCCAAACAAGCUCUCAAGGUCCAAUUUUCCAAUUCUUAAUCCAUUCAUUUCUCUGAUAGGGGAGAGAUAUCCUCUAAUCCUCUAAUGG